ensembl:lncRNA
AUGACUUCUCUAAGGUGAGUGACCGUACGGUGUGCGUGGACACCUGAGAGAACCAUAGGCCAGACUGAGCAUCUACCAUCCCACUAUCAGAUUAGGGAUGGUGGCAAUUUAUGCUUUUUGGCCCAAACUUUUUAUCUGACAUCACCCACUGAUUAACAUUGGGGUGGCAGGUAGCCUAGUGGUUAGAGUGUAGGGGCGGCAGGUAGCCUAGUGGUUAGAGUGUAGGGGCGGCAGGUAGCCUAGUGGUUAGAGUGUAGGGGCGGCAGGUAGCCUAGUGGGUAGAGUGUAGGGGUGGCAGGUAGCCUGGUGGUUAGAGUGUAGGGGUGGCAGGUAGCCUAGUGGUUAGAGUGUAGGGGUGGCAGGUAGCCUAGUGGUUAGAGUGUAGGGGUGGCAGGUAGCCUAGUGGUUAGAGUGUAGGGGUGGCAGGUAGCCUAGUGGUUAGAGUGUAGGGGAGGCAGGUAGCCUAGUGGUUAGAGUGUAGGGGAGGCAGGUAGCCUAGUGGUUAGAGUGUAGGGGCGGCAGGUAGCCUAGUGGGUAGAGCGUUUGGCCAAGUAACCGAAAGGUUGCUGAAUCAAAUCCCCGAGCUGACAAGGUAAAAAUCUGUCGUUCUGCCCCUGAACAAGACUUGUAACCCAUUGUUCCC